rnacentral:lncRNA from 1 species
UCCUUGAUUUCCUAUGAAAUAUCCCUGCCCCCACUCUCUCCCAUUCUCCUCCUGAGCCAGCAGAGUAACCCUACCCAUUUUUUGCCUUUUCAGGUAGUCAGACCUGUCCUGACAGCUGGAGGCCUACGUGAGGGGUGGCCACAGAAGGAGGAGGUCUCAGAGGCCACAGAAACUGAGGAAUCUGAACACAUGAGCUCCGGAGUCCCAGUUAAUUUGGUGCAAUGUUCCCAGUGUGGUCUUGGGAGACGAUAAUUGAGGAAGACUGUAAGCUCC